rnacentral:rRNA from 1 species
UACAGAGGUCUCAAGCGUUGUUCGGAUUCAUUGGGCGUAAAGGGUGCGUAGGCGGCGCGGUAAGUCGGGUGUGAAAUCUCGGAGCUUAACUCCGAAACUGCAUUCGAUACUGCCGUGCUUGAGGACUGGAGAGGAGACUGGAAUUUACGGUGUAGCGGUGAAAUGCGUAGAUAUCGUAAGGAAGACCAGUGGCGAAGGCGGGUCUCUGGACAGUUCCUGACGCUGAGGCACAAAGGUCAGGGGAGCAAACGGG